rnacentral:tRNA from 1 species
GGAGAGGUGACUGAGUGGUUGAAAGUACUCGCCUCGAAAGCGAGCAUACGGGAAACCGUAUCGUGGGUUCGAAUCCCACCCUCUCCGCCA